GGGCAAUUUUGAUACAGAGAUUAGGAAGUGUUAUUUAUCAGUAUCGAAUGUAAUUUAAAAAUACAUUAAAUGAGAUGAAAUUCCUACAUUAGAGAGUCUCAUGUAGUGUGUGUGUGUGUGUGUGUUUUGAGAGAAUAUACUUAGGACCUUGCAGCCCA
rnacentral:sRNA from 1 species